rnacentral:rRNA from 1 species
AUUGAACGCUGGCGGCAGGCCUAACACAUGCAAGUCGAGCGGAUGAAGGGAGCUUGCUCCUGGAUUCAGCGGCGGACGGGUGAGUAAUGCCUAGGAAUCUGCCUGGUAGUGGGGGAUAACGUCCGGAAACGGGCGCUAAUACCGCAUACGUCCUGAGGGAGAAAGUGGGGGAUCUUCGGACCUCACGCUAUCAGAUGAGCCUAGGUCGGAUUAGCUAGUUGGUGGGGUAAAGGCCUACCAAGGCGACGAUCCGUAACUGGUCUGAGAGGAUGAUCAGUCACACUGGAACUGAGACACGCUCCAGACUCCUACGGGAGGCGGCGGUGGGGAAUAUUGGACAAUGAGCGAAGGCCUGAUCCGGCCAGGCGGCGUGUGUGAGGAAGGUCUUCGAAUUGUAAAGCACUUUGGUUGGGAAGGAAGUUCAUUAGGUUAAUACCUUGCUGUUUUGACGUUACCUACAGAGUAAGCACCGGCUAACUACGUG